GGCAAGAUGUCCGAGCGGUCUAUGGAGCUUCGCUCAAGUUUACCCAACUUAACCUUGUGAAAAGGGGAUCGAAGUGUUGCAAAACGCGUGGGUUCGAAUCCCACUCUUGUCA
rnacentral:tRNA from 2 species